ACCUGAUCAGCCAUGCCGCGUGUGUGAAGAAGGCCUUUUGGUUGUAAAGCACUUUAAGCAGUGAAGAAGACUCUUCGGUUAAUACCCGGGGACGAUGACAUUAGCUGCAGAAUAAGCACCGGCUAACUCUGUGCCAGCAGCCGCGGUAAUACAGAGGGUGCAAGCGUUAAUCGGAAUUACUGGGCGUAAAGCGAGCGUAGGUGGCUUGAUAAGUCAGAUGUGAAAUCCCCGGGCUUAACCUGGGAACUGCAUCUGAAACUGUUAGGCUAGAGUAGGUGAGAGGGAAGUAGAAUUYCAGGUGUAGCGGUGAAAUGCGUAGAGAUCUGRAGGAAUACCGAUGGCGAAGGCAGCUUCCUGGCAUCAUACUGACACUGAGGCUCGAAAGCGUGGGUAGCAAACAGGAUUAGAUACCCUGGUAGUCCACGCCGUAAACGAUGUCUACUAGUCGUUGGGUCCCUUGAGGACUUAGUGACGCAGCUAACGCAAUAAGUAGACCGCCUGGGGAGUACGGCCGCAAGGUUAAAACUCA
rnacentral:rRNA from 1 species